AUGCCCCUGGACUUUACCAAGCACUUCGUCGCAGUGCCGACGGAGUUCAAGCUCAGGAACAACACCGGCUGCUCCUGGAAGGUGACGGUCAAGCUGAUGAACGGCAGGGUGACCCAGGAUCAGGGUUGGGCCACCUACGCAGUUCAUCAGAUCAAGAUCGGCUACAUGGUGACGUUCAAGCUCCUCACUCCUGACACCCUCAAGGUCAUCAUCUUCGACGACGAUGGCAUUGAGGUCGUCAACAAGUGCGGGAAGCACGACGAAGCCUUCGCCGCCAAGGAGUAG
rnacentral:rRNA from 1 species